UGUGGAGCUUUUCUUAUGCAGUUUCUUUCGCAUUUUCCUGUAGCUAUAUGCUUCGCUAGUUCUAUCCUUGUCAAACGACUAGUCAUGCAAAGCUUGUUUUCAGUGCAGAGUUACGAGGUAUUUUCAGAUGAAACCAAAAACAUAAAUAAAAAAAUGCAUACACAUGCCACAAUGUUCUUGCCAUGAGUCUGCAGCCCGCACAAGAUAUUACACCGACAAUAACACACGCCGAUGCUUGCUGCAAUGCAACAUGCCUAUGGGUUGUAGUUUAUCGCUCAUGGAUGACCUUCUUAACAACUACGCAGAGGAGAUGGUCAAUUAUUGCACAAUGGCUUCGAACAGUAGUUUCCUCGAAAUGUUGGCUUCCGAAGGAACUACUGUACCAAUUUCAUAAUUAGAGAAGCAACUUGACUCUGUAGCUUGUCACGCAAAGGUUGAAGAGAAGAGGUGUAAAUGUAGGACAUAUGCAACACUUUUCUCGUUCAUGUUAAUCAUGUAUGUUGCUAGAAUAUUAAUCCUCAUUGUGUAAAUUUCAUCUGUUCAAAAUCUCCAACCUUCAUUCAUUGUGCUGUCCAAGUUUCUCAUCA